rnacentral:snRNA from 1 species
CCUCACAUCAAUAUGCUUCAA